rnacentral:lncRNA from 1 species
CCCAGCCACCCCCUCCCCAUCCCCAACCCCUCCGCAUUUGUGUGCAAGGGGGCGCGGGGCCGUGCAAUGCACGGUGCUGCAGUCGUGCAUGGGGCUGGGCUUGCACGUCUGCAGGGGGUUGUGCUGGUGAUUGUGCACGUGGUUGUGCAUGCAAGUGUGCACAAGGCUGUGCUUGUGCAUGCGGUGGUGCUCACAGUCAUGCACACCAUUGCAUUUGUGUGUGGUAGUGCAUGCAAGUGUGCACAGGGCUGUGCUUGUGCAUGCGGUGGUGCUCACAAUCGUGCAUGCUGUUACAUUUGUGCACGGGGCUGUGCUCGUGCAUGCAGUGGUGCUCACAAUCACGCGUGCAGUUGCACUCAUGCAUGGGGCUGUGCUUGCAAGCAUGCACGGGGACGUGCUAACGAUUGUGCUUGUGACAGUGCUCACAAGUGUGCACAGGACUGUGCUUGUGCAGACAGUGGAGCUCAUGAUUGUGCACGCCAUUGCAUUCAUGCACGGGGCUGUGCUUGCACGUGUGCACGGGAACAUGCAUGUGAUGGGGCUUGCAAGUGUGCACGGGGCUGUGCUUGUGCUACGGUGGAGUGCAGG